GCCACAGCCGACUGCCGAGUCUUCAUUCUCCGAGUCUUCAUCGGACGCGGCUUCGUCGGACGCCGGGCGGGCACUUGCUUUUCACCUGCUGCUGCCGGCCUCCCAUUGGCUCUCUCCUCUCUUCUCCACCUGCGCACAAUUGAAGCCCUGCUGCUUGAUUGCUCACCUGUCCCUUCUGGUCAAAAAGCCCUCUUCUCUUUCGUCGCGCUUCUCUAGGAGGAGCGACACCGCUGGGCUUCAUACUGCAAAGGACUGUGAAAUGACUAUUCGGGUGACUUUCUUUGUCCUCAACCGCAUGCUUGACUGGCAAACACGCUUGGGUUCGCCAGAGACUCGACUCCACCUCCUACUUGUGCUAACUCUGCUGUUCUCUGACAUGAACGUGCAGAUAAAAGCAUUUACACAACCCGCAGCCUGAAAACAUCAGUGGAGCUGACGACGCUAAGACAACCGACAAAACGAGGAUCGUCGCGAGGAACAAACGCCGCCUCGUGUGGGACCUCGGGGGCAAAGUACACCGACACUAAACGUUACUAAUGUUUAAAGACUCACCUCGUGCAUCUUUUUCCAUCAACAUCAGACAGUGGCAGCAGUGGUGGUAGGGUUACCUGGGAAACAAUCAGUCUGAAUGUUAAGAUGGAUUUGUCACUUUUCAAACAACACUUCAUCAAAACCAUACAAGGAUUUCUACAUGUACAGCACAACACAGAGAAAGGAGCUAAUCUGGAUAUUCAAGUGGCUGAAUCUACUUGAUGCAUUGUGGAGUCAUCUUCAACUACAACUGCAUCCAUAUUCAAUGACAAAGAUUAACAAACUACCUGCUUUUGCUCAUUCAACAGGACCCUGACCUGCAGCUCAGCUACCGGACAAUCACUCAAUAAAGUCUCACUGACAGCUGCAUUACAAUAUACUCUAUAUUUGUGUGUGUGUCUGUAGAUGUAUGACAAUUCCUUCAUACUUGGUCUCACACACACACCACUAUUUGUGUUUGAGUGUUGUGAGAAGGAGGAGGAGGACUUUUUAGAGCUGCACGGACCAGGCAACCAAAUAUGGUGAGAGUAUUUAAAACUAUUCCUAUGUCGUCUAAAAUAUGCCGUUCUUUGACUUCAUCUUCACUUUAUCUUGUCUGGAUUUCUACUGUAGAUUAUCUUCAUGCAAGACAAGCAUGGUGCAGUACAAAUGUAGUGUUGUGAGUUGCGAGUACCUCAAACUCAUACUGAAGCACAACGUCUUCUUUCUCUCACGUCCACUCCGGCUCUGGGCCUCGCACUGUAACAACAUUUUUAACAAAUACAAUAAACAUCUAUUUCAAUAACUACUGCAGGACAGUUACAAGCUUUCAUUGAGGUAUCUGACUAUUGUCACAUAUCUCAACUGUUCACAUCUUCAGCUUCACACACCCGUCGUGUGCUUUAUUAGAGCAAAGUCAACUAUGUCAGCAAAGUCAUUGUUGACUUUGCUGACAUUUGGACACGUGCUCCAAUUCACUUCAAUAUGACAACACUCACAAUCGCUUCCUGUUUGCCAACUUCUCUUCAAAGUAACGGCGCAUUCAUUUGAAUGCUGUCGUGCUGAGCACAAUCACACAGCUCGGGUCUGAAUUAAUCAACAUUGUAAUGUAUGACACAAAUAACAUCACUUCUGUUAAUCACUAAUUCAGUUUCAUUUCAUGAAAAACACUCAAUUGGAUAAACACAAAGUUGGCCAUCCUCACUCUUCAUCACAGACUUGUUUAUAAGCAACUCUGCACAUGAAUGAGGAGAACUCACCAAUGACAAAGACUCGUUUUCAAAGGGCUCCAAGCAAACACCUUUCAAACUGCCACAGCGCUAGUAUUAUACAUGAUUUAUGUGGAUUCACUUUGAGGUGUACAUCAUUGCCGUCCUCUUCAUCUUUACAAUCUUUUCUCUGCAGCGCUGAGGACAAUGGGGGCAUCGUCAUCGUCCUUCACCUACACUGACACCAGCGCUCUCUUCUGCAUCUGCAGCACACAACACAUUCAUUUAGAUAUGGUGAAUGAAAAGCACUUACAUAGAUUUCUAUAGUGUAUUUCAUGGGAAAAUAUUUGCUAAACACAUCGUUACAUAUGCAUCAAGUCAUGACAAGGACCUUGAUACAUUCAUUCUUAACACUCAUAUUAAAGACUAAUCAAAGAGCAGUCCAGCUACCAUUUCAUAUCACUACUCUAAUCAAUUUUCACACAUUCAUUCCUUUUUUCACCCAAUGACCAACACUUUGGCGAUUGCAGAGAGAGAAUCAACUUCAUUAGGUGGAAGAAACCUCCAGAACCACACAGGCAAAGGAACUGAUGGAUCAGUCCAGCCGUGACUCUCUGGGUCAGCCUGGCUACAGAGCUGAAGAGGAACCUGAGCACGUUCUGCCAUUCAUGAUCAACAACUGGAGCUUCUGCCAUUUCAAGUGCUUUCUUAUCAUUUAUCACAGGCUGCUGUCCGAUGAACAAUGUUAGCAACUAGUGUGGGACUGAAUGUUGGAUCAAAAAGGCAAACGCUGAAAGGUUCUUGUCACUUAUUACAAGUACAAUGAAAUCAAGUAUUUCAUGUCUUUUGUAAAGACAAUAUUAAGGGGAAAGUGAGCUACUUUUUCAUUACAACACUGAUUACUUACUUAUAUUUAGUAGCAUUUCAAGCUAAUCCUUUCACUUCACUCUCGUUCAGGAUGACCUCCGCUAUCUCUAUGUCUACUUUCAAAUCCUUUGAAAUUUAUGUCAAACUCAGCUACUUUUACUUUACGAUCUACUACUUGCUCCUAGUCAAUAUUCUAAUUAAAGCGCUGACAAACAUAUUUUACUUCACAACUCUUUCCUCAAGGAUUCUUUCCAACUAUAUUUAUUAGGAGCAACUUCUCCAUACCAUCAUGACAAGUAGCCGACUUUCGCCUUUGUUUCCUCAACUCUGUCUAAUCUUCACAAACUUGACAGAUUCACAACAAACGACCUCAAACCUUCAGCCUUGUUCUUCAUCGUUCAGUCACACUAAUCUAAUCUAAUCCACUAACAGCACCGUGUUCAGCGAAGGGGGCGUGAGAGAAGCUAAAGCUUCUUAACUAGCACCAGACACCGCGUGUGAACAAAGUGAAUCACUGACAGAGGGACAAACACAGAGUGAACAACAGUGACGCAGUGAAUAUGGUUCGAAACCCGCCUCAAAGGAUGAGCGCGACGGUUCAGUUACGUCUGUGGAGGAGACACGAGGAGCCGCGGGAGUCCGUACACACACAUUUCAGACCCGGAAGUGACGCAGCAUGCUCCACCUCCGCACGUCAGCACGUCCGACAGUGGCCAAGCCCAAAUGUACAUUUGUCCUUUUUCUGCUUUUAAUACAAACAUUCACUUUUUCCUGAUUUGUGGAACAAUUCUAUUAGAUUGACUUUUUAUUUAGUAACAAACGAUAUCUUAUAAACACUGUGAAUAGAUUGAUAUUCAUAAUUAAGCAUAAUAGGAGUAAUAGCACAACAGUAGCAAUGAUGUAGUCAUAAACCACCCACGACUAAUCUACUCCUUUUUUUUGGGAAGUUUAUAGUUUUCUCUUGCACCUGUUUUGUUGUUUUUUCCCGUCUUUACCUCCCCAACAAUUCAUUACUGGGAUGAAAAGGCCACCUUCACAACCUGUCGACUCAGAGAGACGUGGGCUCAGUAAGCCCAAGGCCGGGGCUGUUUGGGGUCAUUACUUUGGAUACGUGCAGCUCUCAAUCCCCAUUACCUGCCGCCGCCACAACCUGCCCAGGGCGCCGUUUAGUCCCCACACAUGACCAGGGGAUAACUACACAGGUGAUGUUAAACAUCCAAAUUAGUUUGUUAUUUAACCUGCGAGUAUCAGCAAACUAAAGGUAGAUUCACGUCUAAAUUAGGUCUAAUCUUAUUACAGCACUAAAACAACUGACUGAAGUGUCCGGUCACUGUUUCCUGCAUUUGUUUUCACUGACGUAUCUGGUGACACACACACACAGAUUCAUUUACUCAUCUAGAGAAGCUUUUGUGAGAAAGUUUCACAUAAACUUCAGGUGAGUUAAUGACUUUUCGAGAGAAGAGAGAGAAAUAAGUGCUCAAUAAAUGAAACACUGUGAAUGCUACAACUUAUUUGAAUCUAUCGAGGUUGAUAUAUUUUCUUCUUAUCAACAGGAGUCAGACUUUACAGCUUUGGAACUAACAAACCUCAGAAAACUCAUCUCUUGACUCAAAGUACAAUGUGAUGAAAUGAGGCAGUACUUCACGUUUUCUUCUGAUCUUUACACAGUUAAACAUUCGAUUAAGAUGUAACCUGCCCAGAAUUCACUGUACAUUUGUGCUACACACAUACAUUUAGAUGUCACUAUUUCAAAUCACAUGUUUUACUACUUUUGUUACAGCUGAUCAUAAAUAUAUAAUCUUUCUAACAUGUAUUUUGUUGGUCUUUAAACCCUGUGUGUGAACUCCUGGUCGUCAUCAUCAAGACAGUCAAUCUGCAUUUUUAACCUCAAGUAGCCCAAGGAAAGACAAUACACAGCCUCUCUUCAAUUACUUAUUCUCACAUCACCACAAAAAUAGAUGACAAAUGCAAAUUUUGCUCCAUUCCCCAGCUGGGCAGUCAAGUGCUCAUUAGUUUGAAAGAAGGUUCAUCCAUUUAGGCUUUUGCAUAUUGAUAUGACAAUUACUUCUGUUCGUGGAAUAGGCAUCCGUCAAGGUCAUAGUGCAUAAACACGCAUGGGAACAUUAGGGAGAAGUCAACGUUAUAAUACAGUAGGGGAGGUUAGGCUUUUUUGUCUACCCCAAAACAAAACAUUUGCUAACCUCAUGCUGCGACAUCUCUGGGUAUCGAGUCCCAAUGCUUCACUAGAAAGAUGCAUCGCACCAGCAGGGAAUUGUGAUUUAACCAAGGCAUCCAGUUGUCUUUGGAGACAGAAAUGCAUGAAAACCAAUAUACAACUAUUGAUUUACUCCAAUAUUUGCUGAUUUAAAACAAUUUCAUUUGAAUGAGGCCAAUUUGCCUUUUGUGUCCAGAUUUUCACUUUUUCAACCCAGCAAUUAGUUAUGUCUGAAAUCACCCACUACAUUGUGAGUUAGCCUUUUUUCUUUCCUGACGAAAUAUUUAGUGCCUACUAUUUUCCCCUUUAAUAUUCAUUCUAUCCCAUCAUGCAUUGCACUCACACUGAAUGAAAGAAAACUAAAUCCUUGACAGUUGUAGCAGAUGCUUCAUUCUUUUUUUUCCCCCCUUGUGUGAAAACAUGCUCAGUACAUUUCUAAUGACGUGUAAUGUUAGAUGUUCUGACUUAGGAUGCAGAGAAUGUGUCGUUUUCAAACGAGUUUUUUGGUUCAUUAGCCGGUGAGCUCUCAACUCAUCGUGAGUCCAUCUCAGCUGACACUUCCCAUUUAUAUAUAUAUAUACUGUGUGCUUUGAACCACACACUGUACAUGUAGAAGGACGACAUGACAGCCAUUGAUCUUAUCAUACUGGGUAUGUGUAUUGUUAAGAGCCCCGUUGAAUCUGGUGACAUAUGUUCUAUAUAUUUAAACAUUGAAAAAACAGGUGAACUGCUCUUUACUUGAAGUAAAUGUUAAAGUUUCAGAACAGACACAAAAAAGGCGUUUUCCAAAUGUUUAUGGUUCUGAUAACUUUGGUUUUAUUUGUUGAAGCACAAGGUGGUGGCAACUGUAAUAUUUUAGCUUCAUUUUUGUUCGACUGAAGAAGAUGGCGACUCAUCUUUUAGACUUAAAUAUAACAAUUCUAAAUUGACAUAGACAUUUAGUCAUUUCCAGACAAUGUUGUGAAAUAAGUCCAGUUUUCCUUGACAUCUUCUUGUACCUCUGUGACUUUGCAGCAGUCCAAGUUCAUUUUCACAGUCAACUUGAGUCCAGCCCUCUUUGUUCACUGGCAGCUGGAGGUGAGCGCCGAUCCCAGUGUCUGUACGAAGGUGUGGACGUCCCUGAAGGUGUUGUAGAGCGGCACCGGAGCGAUUCGCAGCACGCUGGGCUCCCUCAUGUCCAACUGAGAGACAGGAACUCCUUGAAAACCUUGCCGAUGGGGACCGAGAAGGAGAGCGAGAGCUGGCAGCCUCUCUGCUGAGGGUCGGAGGGCGUGAUGAUGCGGACGUGUGGUUUCCCGGGCUGCGCGGCGGCGUCUUCGGUGUAGUGAUGCUGGAUCAGAUACUCCAGCCUCCGUGAUGGCGGCCAUGUUGAACAGCUGACCGGUGUAGUACUGAACUCCGCUGAACAUCACCGUGGCGAUGGAGUCGCCCUCCUUCUCAAUCACUUGCAGGAUGUCCUCCGUUCUCAGGGUCUCUUCUCCCUGAGCAGGAAGCAGAGUCAUCGGUCACAUUUCAUCCCUAUCGGACACUUAUCUACAGAAAUGUUCAAAGUGUUGUCACCGUCUUCCAGCUCAGAACUAAACUUGACUUGUAUUUCAAACCUCUGGCUCAUGUCUGUUUAUUUAUUUUAUUUGGUGUUAAUAACCACAGUUUGAAAUACAAAUUGUGAUUUAGCAACAGGAGCUCCACAUGGAUGGAUGUGUGGUGUGACAUCUGGAACGUACCGGUCUGGGUGAAAGCAGCAACAUGCUCUGCUGAGGGUCGAAUCCUCGCAGCCUGAUCUGAGAUUCCACAGCGUACUGGAGACACGAGAGAGACAAUGAGGAAAUCAAGACCUGAACUGAGGAGACAGGACAAGUUACAGAAACAUUGGGACGUACAAAACUAAUGUUUUACACUACACAACUUUACUUCUUGUCCGUGAAGCUUCAUUCAUGACAUCUUUCAUCAAUUAUCCCACAAACUUCAAGGAAACAAUACUUUUAUGUUUGAUGCAUUGUCACGUGGCCCUGGAGGUUUAGAAACGUGCCUCGAAAUCAAAUGUUAUGAUUGUAUUAUAUUGGAGAUAAUCUUUCUCUACCAUAAAUGAUCUUUUAGUGUGAACCUGUCUAAAUAUCUGUCUCCACAUAACAAUAAAAAUAAACACAACAGUUGUUGAAUUCA